rnacentral:rRNA from 1 species
UGGGGAAUAUUGGACAAUGGGCGCAAGCCUGAUCCAGCCAUGCCGCGUGGGUGAUGAAGGCCCUAGGGUUGUAAAGCUCUUUCGGCGGGGAAGAUAAUGACGGUACCCGCAGAAGAAGCCCCGGCUAACUUCGUGCCAGCAGCCGCGGUAAUACGAAGGGGGCUAGCGUUGCUCGGAAUCACUGGGCGUAAAGCGCACGUAGGCGGGUUCUUAAGUCAGGGGUGAAAUCCUGGAGCUCAACUCCAGAACUGCCCUUGAUACUGAGAAUCUUGAGUCCGGGAGAGGUGAGUGGAACUGCGAGUGUAGAGGUGAAAUUCGUAGAUAUUCGCAAGAACACCAGUGGCGAAGGCGGCUCACUGGCCCGGUACUGACGCUGAGGUGCGAAAGCGUGGGGAGCAAACAGG